CCAUCAUGUUCCAUCACAAGUGACUGGAUGUAGCUCCCUGUGCUAUCCAGCAGGAUCGCAUUGCUUAUCCACUCCAAAUGCAUCUGCUAAUCCAAAGCUCCCAUGGAAGGAGCUGGAAGUCCAUCCUGACUCAGAAAAAAGAGGGGAGACCCAACAAAGAGAAACUGUUCCCUUUGGCUGGUUGAGCAAGAAAAAUCUUGCUUGAAAUGCUUUUCCAGAAAUGUCUGAGCAGAAUCUGCAGUAGCAAGGGGAUAUUCUUUCCCAGGCCAAAACUUCUCAAGAGUCAGCCCCAAAGUCUGAAUGAAGAUCUUGAAGACUUCGAAUAGGCGUCCACUCAUCAGAUUCAACGAACAGAAGCCAAAGGAGAAACAGACUUGAGAGGUUGGAGAGGAAAGAGGUGGUGGUG
rnacentral:lncRNA from 9 species